rnacentral:rRNA from 1 species
GGGGGGGGGGGGGGGGGGGGCUGGGGGGGGCGGGGGGGGGGGGGGGUGCGGGGGUAGGGGCGCAGGGGUGCGUGACGCGUGGGACCCUGCCCUGAGGUUCGGAAUACCUCCCCGAAAGGGGUGAUAAUACCGGCUCAUGGCUUCGGCCCAAAUUGUUAGCGACUUUGGAUUGUCCCGCUUUGGUUUAGCUAGUUGGUAGGGUAAAAGCCUACCAAGGCGACGAUCCCUCGCUGGUCUGUGAGGAUGAUCAGCCACCCUGGGACUGAGACACGGCCCAGACUCCUACGGGAGGCAGCAGUGGGGAAUAUUGGACAAUGGGCGAAAGCCUGAUCCAGCAAUGCCGCGUGAGUGAUGAAGGCCUUAGGGUUGUAAAGCUCUUUUACCCGGGAUGAUAAUGACAGUACCGGGAGAAUAAGCUCCGGCUAACUCCGUG